CAGUAGCCACGGGAAUACGUAGGUGGCAAGCGUUGUCCGGAAUUAUUGGGCGUAAAGGGCUCGCAGGCGGUUUCUUAAGUCUGAUGUGAAAGCCCCCGGCUCAACCGGGGAGGGUCAUUGGAAACUGGGAAACUUGAGUGCAGAAGAGGAGAGUGGAAUUCCACGUGUAGCGGUGAAAUGCGUAGAGAUGUGGAGGAACACCAGUGGCGAAGGCGACUCUCUGGUCUGUAACUGACGCUGAGGAGCGAAAGCGUGGGGAGCGAACAGGAUUAGAUACCCCGGUAGUCCCUGUCUCUUAUAC
rnacentral:rRNA from 1 species